rnacentral:rRNA from 1 species
GGUUAAGCGACUAAGCGUACACGGUGGAUGCCCUGGCAGUCAGAGGCGAUGAAGGACGUGCUAAUCUGCGAUAAGCGUCGGUGAGGUGAUAUGAACCGUUAUAACCGGCGAUUUCCGAAUGGGGAAACCCAGUGUGUUUCGACACACUAUCAUUAACUGAAUCCAUAGGUUAAUGAGGCGAACCGGGGGAACUGAAACAUCUAAGUACCCCGAGGAAAAGAAAUCAACCGAGAUUCCCCCAGUAGCGGCGAGCGAACGGGGAGGAGCCCAGAGCCUGAAUCAGUGUGUGUGUUAGUGGAAGCGUCUGGAAAGGCGUGCGAUACAGGGUGACAGCCCCGUACACAAAAAUGCACAUAUUGUGAGCUCGAUGAGUAGGGCGGGACACGUGGUAUCCUGUCUGAAUAUGGGGGGACCAUCCUCCAAGGCUAAAUACUCCUGACUGACCGAUAGUGAACCAGUACCGUGAGGGAAAGGCGAAAAGAACCCCGGCGAGGGGAGUGAAAAAGAACCUGAAACCGUGUACGUACAAGCAGUGGGAGCCUCUUAAUGGGGUGACUGCGUACCUUUUGUAUAAUGGGUCAGCGACUUAUAUUCUGUAGCAAGGUUAACCGAAUAGGGGAGCCGAAGGGAAACCGAGUCUUAACUGGGCGUUAAGUUGCAGGGUAUAGACCCGAAACCCGGUGAUCUAGCCAUGGGCAGGUUGAAGGUUGGGUAACACUAACUGGAGGACCGAACCGACUAAUGUUGAAAAAUUAGCGGAUGACUUGUGGCUGGGGGUGAAAGGCCAAUCAAACCGGGAGAUAGCUGGUUCUCCCCGAAAGCUAUUUAGGUAGCGCCUCGUGAAUUCAUCUCCGGGGGUAGAGCACUGUUUCGGCAAGGGGGUCAUCCCGACUUACCAACCCGAUGCAAACUGCGAAUACCGGAGAAUGUUAUCACGGGAGACACACGGCGGGUGCUAACGUCCGUCGUGAAGAGGGAAACAACCCAGACCGCCAGCUAAGGUCCCAAAGUCAUGGUUAAGUGGGAAACGAUGUGGGAAGGCCCAGACAGCCAGGAUGUUGGCUUAGAAGCAGCCAUCAUUUAAAGAAAGCGUAAUAGCUCACUGGUCGAGUCGGCCUGCGCGGAAGAUGUAACGGGGCUAAACCAUGCACCGAAGCUGCGGCAGCGACACUAUGUGUUGUUGGGUAGGGGAGCGUUCUGUAAGCCUGUGAAGGUGGCCUGUGAGGGUUGCUGGAGGUAUCAGAAGUGCGAAUGCUGACAUAAGUAACGAUAAAGCGGGUGAAAAGCCCGCUCGCCGGAAGACCAAGGGUUCCUGUCCAACGUUAAUCGGGGCAGGGUGAGUCGACCCCUAAGGCGAGGCCGAAAGGCGUAGUCGAUGGGAAACAGGUUAAUAUUCCUGUACUUGGUGUUACUGCGAAGGGGGGACGGAGAAGGCUAUGUUGGCCGGGCGACGGUUGUCCCGGUUUAAGCGUGUAGGCUGGUUUUCCAGGCAAAUCCGGAAAACCAAGGCUGAGGCGUGAUGACGAGGCACUACGGUGCUGAAGCGACAAAUGCCCUGCUUCCAGGAAAAGCCUCUAAGCAUC